GCAAGGAAUUUUCGUCAAUGGGCGCAAGCCUGAACGAGCAACGCCGCGUGGAGGAUGACGGCCUUCGGGUUGUAAACUCCUUUUUCGGGGGACGAUUGUGACGGUACCCCGGGAAUAAGGCUCGGCUAACUCUGUGCCAGCAGCCGCGGUAAGACAGAGGAGCCAAGCGUUGUCCGGAUUGACUGGGCGUAAAGCGCACGCAGGCGGUCGCGCGCGUGGGGUGUGAAAUCUGGCCGCUUAACGGCCAGGCGCCAUCCCAUACGGCGCGACUGGAGCCAUGCAGAGGGCGGUGGAAUUGCCGGUGUAGUGGUGAAAUGCGUAGAGAUCGGCAGGAACACCCAGGGGGAAACCAGCCGCCUGGGCAUGCGCUGACGCUGAGGUGCGAGAGCGUGGGGAGCGAACCGGAUUAGAUACCCUAGUAGUCC
rnacentral:rRNA from 1 species